AACAUCGCGCACCUGCGGGAACCUGCGGAGGGAUCAUUAACAAAAUUGUCCACGAAUAAUGGAUAAUUUUUAUCCAUAUCCACCUUGUGUGAAUCAUUGAUGUGUUUAUUGGCAGGUUUCGGCUGUACAGCUGGUGAGCUUUUCAGCGCUGAUGGAUUGACACAGUGCUAGCUAGCUCGGCCUGCCAAUUUUAUGAUGUUUAACGUGUCUAAAUAUUACUCGUCUGAAAUAUACUUUUAU
rnacentral:misc_RNA from 1 species